rnacentral:rRNA from 1 species
UACAGAGGUCCCAAGCGUUGUUCGGAUUCACUGGGCGUAAAGGGUGCGUAGGUGGUCAGGUAAGUCUGAUGUGAAAUCUCUGGGCUCAACCCAGAAAACUGCAUUGGAUACUAUCUGGCUAGAGGAGUGGAGGGGGGACUGGAAUACUUGGUGUAGCAGUGAAAUGCGCAGAUAUCAGGAAGAACACCUAUGGCGAAGGCAGCUCUCUGGGACGGUACUGACGCUGAGACGCGAAAAGCGUGGGGAGGCGAACAGG